AUAAUUUCAUGGUUCAGGCUUUAGAGAUAAAGAAGUCACUAAAUUAUUUGGGGGUAACAGACCCCGAAUAAUUAUCUUAAAAACAGAUUAGGAUUAGAAUUUGUUGCUGACGUGUUUAGGCUGUAAUGGUCGUAUUUAUUUAUUUAUUUAUUUUUGUUAAUUUUCUUUUCUUGUGGAAAAACAUUCACAUAUUAAUUCAAUCAGAGCUCUACAACUGAAGCACUGGUGAAAUGAAAAGCUGUGGGCUUCAUGAAUAAGAGAACUUAAAAUGAAGUCUCUAAUGUGAGAUUUUUUUUUAUUUUUUUUUAUUUUCACCAACUUAAUUAAAACUGUAAAUUCAGAGGUGUCAUGAUGGUGUGGUAGUUAGCACUGACACAUCACACCAAGAGGAUCCUGAGUUUGGAUUCACUGGCCAUCUGGGGCCCUUCUGCAUGGAGUUUGCAUGUUCUCUGCGUGCCUGCUCGGGUUUUUACUGGGUGCACAGGCUUUCUUCCAAAUAAUUAUUGGGUUAAUAAACUGGCCAUAGGUGUUGUUAGGGUUCAAUGUUGAGAGAAGAAUCCAUAAAAACCACAGAUCCAGGCGUGUGCAAUUUAGACGGCAUUUUAAUGAACACAUGUGUGAGUUCAACAACCCAAUCAGUGUUGAACUGAACUUACAAUCAUGAGACAAGGUUUUAUAUGGGUACAAUAACAAAGCCCCCCUCUUUUACAAAAAUAGACAAUAGUACAGCUUACGUCAAUCCAAACCACAAAAUGUUCCCUGACCUUUAACAUUGCUCUAAAAAACAUUGUCUUCGGGUCGGUGCUUCCCCUCUUCGCUGUCGCUCGUCUGGUGCACUUCCUCUAAGUACGUCGGCACACUUCUGCAUUUCUGUGUGUAUGUGUCUGCAGUGUAUGCUACGUACGUGUCAUGACCUCUCACUAUUUGUCUGUGUGUACGUGCAGAUUUGCAUCUGCUUUCUGAACCUUAGUUGACCUCAACUUAAGCAACCAACCAGGCUAAGGCCAUCCUGUGUGUAAUGAUCUUGACUUAUAUGUGAAAUAUAUAAACAACUGUUUCAAUCUACCACAACUGCUUAAGGCUUAAUCCGCAAUAAAUGCAUACUAAACACCCUUGCACUUAAACUUCUGGCUUCAGUUUCACUUCUGCAAAACAUGCUCUGCAGACGCGUUUUGUUUCCUGUCUCAUUUUGGCACAGAGAGUAUUGUCCUGUCUCUGCCCUCUACACAGAGAUCAUAAAAGCAUUAAUAACAUUUAAAUUAUAGAUUCAACAGAACCAUUUAAAAUGGUUCUUCUUUGGACCUGUAAUAAAGGCUAUAACCAUAUAUUUGAACAUCUGAAUGCAUCUAACUGCAACCUCACUAUUAAUACUGAAAUGUUAAUGAUGAUUAUAAAAAUAGCAGCAACUAAUAGCAGGACAAUAUUUCUAUUCCUG
ensembl:lncRNA